rnacentral:lncRNA from 1 species
AUCACCAAGGUUAGUGAUCAUCUUUCCUCAAAGAAAAGGGUAGUAAUCAUCAAAUGUCAUUAAGAUAUGGAUUCCAAAAGCAUGCAUGUUUCCUCCCCGAGAAAAGGGACACGUUCAUUUCGAAUUAAAAAUAGUUUAAGUUAUUCUUUUCAUAUUUUGACUUAUUUUAGCUUUUUGAGCUAAGGUGAUCGAUAGGCAAUUCGACAUAUAUGUAGAGAGAGAUGUGAUGAGUUGAUGGCAUUCUGUAUGAAAAUGAUACAUGGGAAACCAUAUAAAAACAAAAGGUACUCUACUUUUAGCAACUCAUAUUUUACGACAUUGGUUAGCUUAACAAAAAAUUCAUCCUUCUAGCAUUUAGUUAUUACCUAACAAAUGAGCUAUGGUUGCUGAAAAUUUAAGUGCAGCAAAUGCAUAGGCCACAUAUGUCGUUGUAUGCCUCCUUUGAGACAACUAGAAUUAGUGUUAGUCCUACAAGAGAUGCUUAAAACAGCUGUGAACUAAAUUUGUGCCCAACUUACAAAUUCCGAAACUACCAAAGUCACGGCAUCAUGAACACAAACUACUAUUAGGAAAUUACAGAAGUGAGUGAAAAUAAAGAAAAUAAACAAGUGAGGCGGGGAAUCCAACAUGUGCUUACCUGUAUUGAGUGGUUGUUCCUUUGUUCAAUCCGGGACCAUGGGGCCUGCCUCCGUUCCCAAAAUCGAGCUACACGAAGAAAGGGAAAGCUCUGCGCCGAUCCCGUCCAUAUCCAGGUGUGGACCGUGUGGGAAGCAGAGUGCACGCGGUGCCGGCAAUGGCACAUUACCUAUGCCAGAAGCCAGAUCAUUGCGAGUUUGCGAUGUAGUAAAGGAGAUACAUUAUUGUUCUUCAAUAAACAUCCGCCGCCACAGUCCUUCUAGAUCCAAUGGAGUUCUGCAUUCCCUUUUUUUUAAAUAAAUCUUUUGAGCUACUAUUAU